GGUGAGGUGGCUGAAUUAGGUGAUAGACUGUAAAUCUAUUUAUGAGGGUAAUCCUCUCUUACCA
rnacentral:tRNA from 1 species